rnacentral:hammerhead_ribozyme from 1 species
AUCUAGCUGACGAGUUCCAAAUAAGACUAAAUGCGCGUCAAACUGGAU